GGCUUCGUAGCUCAGCUGGUAGAGCGCUUGUCGCAUUGAGGUAUGCUAUGUCUGUUGCUGGUUCGAAUCCGGCCGAAGCCC
rnacentral:tRNA from 1 species